CCCCUUAAAAGAAUCUCGUCCUCGAGAUUAGGAUGAACCAGAGAAUAACUGAGGGUAUUUUGAUAUCAGAUCAUCUUCUCUUUCCCAGGUUGCCUCUUCCACAGAAUGAUGUUUCCAUUGUACUUUACACAUCCUGAUAGUCUUACUCCUGGUGAUCCUCUCUACUGUUUCCAAAACUUUAUAGGACUCUCAAGCAUUUCUUGAAUUGGGAGACAUGGAAAAUAUUGUGCACAUUGGACAGGCUAGCAAGCAACUCAAGCUGAUAAGCCACUUUACCUCUCCUUUCCAAAAUCCUGAAAGGACCAAUGUAUCUAGGAGCUAGCUUUCCCUUGACCUUGAACCUCUUUAGCCCACUCAUCGGAGAUACUUUCAGGUAU
rnacentral:lncRNA from 1 species